UCUCCCCCAUGGCCCCAUCGACCCCCAUCACACAUCUGAAUAUAUUCACCUGCCUGCACUUCCAUGACUAAAAGUCUAAAACUGAACCAAAUUGUGCGUGCGUAAGUCAAGUCAAGUCAACACAUGGUUGUAUUAUAACCAAUGAUUUAGGGCUACUGCCAUAGGUUCGCUUUCCUAAUUGCAGACGUACAUGAAUAAACAGCUCCAUCACUAUGAUAUGGUAAUAGUUUGAGUGAGCCGACAAAUAUUUUAUCAUGGUUAAAUUUGAUGUUCCUGGCAUAACAGAUCCGCUCAUCUACUUGACGUCAUCGGUUACAUCAACAGAAAAAUUGUUACUCCGAUAUGGAUACAUCAUGUGUCAUAUACCAGUAAAAAAUGUAUCUCUAAGUAAGUAUAUUUGUCCAAAGUAUACAUGUGAAGUUAUCAUGCAGUUGAUGCAAAAUGGGAAAAAAAUAAAGCACUCCAUUUUUUAUGCAAAUGGGAAAAUAAUUAUAUCCAUUUGAGCUCAAGGGCUCUGGAUUUUUCACUUACAUGCUUGACUACUUUUUGUUGUCACUAUCUAGCGACGAAUGAGAUAAAUAAAAACAUUGCUACCUUACUUACCUAUUGACUUGCUUGCUUUGUGCCACAACAUUUCAGUGCGACCUACUGAGUUAUAUUUGACUUGCUGCUAGUAGUAACCAGGAGUAUUUGUAUUAUUCAAUACUAGUAUUCAGUGUGAAGAAAUUCUACUCAGUGUUGGCCUACUACUAUGGUUUGCCGGUAAUUAAAGAUCUAUCUAGGUACUUUCUGCGUGGGUCAUGCAUGCUGUGUACUUUCUUUAUUAGUAUUACCAAAUGCCAUUAUUCAUAACAGCCCCCUCGUAGGCAACUUAUGCCUUUUUUGUCUAGCUCUUUGGUGCAGUUUUAUGUUUUUUAACGGCUUGAAAUAACAUGGUUUAGCUUGUAUUUCGUGUGGUUAAUUACAUUUAUCUGGGAGAAUAAGGUCCAUGGAAAAAACUGGGGGUUUACAACAUCUUGAGUCUCUAUAUUCGUUUACAUACAUUUUGAGUUAAAUCUGAGAGUUCUUGCAUGGGACACAGUUUCCGGCAUUUUAUUUACCUUUCCUUCUUCCCCUCCAUUAUUUAUUUAUGUGGAAUCUAUUCUAUGUUAAGAUGUAGCAUCUUUAGAUUGCAUAUGAGCCAGUUAGGUUUUUUGACUGCACACAAAUCCGCUGCCACCUCCUCUCUGCUUCCUCGGCUGCAGCGUCGCCGCUCCUCCUGUGUCUGGGCUGGACGGUAGCUGCCGGCCGGAGGGUUGCGCACUUCUUCGGCACACACACACAAUGGUCGACUGGCUUCGCCAAGGUACGUUCAUGUGCGCUGGCACAGGCCGAGCUUGCAUGGAAUGACGACCCGCCGCACGCCCUGUAUUGAUCAGCUACCAGUGGAGCCGGAUGUGGUCGCCUACUUUGUCGCACAACUCCUUUGACCAUCACGUACAACCCAACCUGGGUGCUGCAGGAGAGGAGAUCAGAUGUAUGGAAACAAAAGAAAAGGCUGCAAGUCAUGGUUGUUUAUACGAGAGGAGAUGGUGGACCUGCAGACACCUUUGAUUUCGUUAAAUCCUGUGGAGGGAAGGGGAGAUUAUGGAUGGAUGGAGCUUGGUUGAAAUUGGGUUGCUGUUGCAUUGGCAUUUAAGACUCAAGAGAAUGUUCCUUCCCAAAGAAGAGGUCGGGCGUUCUCGUUGGCGACUCUAGCGGUUGAAUUCAUCAGCUUAUCUAGAUUAGCUAGUGUUGGUGUUGCUAUUUAUGGAUUUGUGGUGAAGAGGAACAACCAUCCUGGUUGCUGCCUGCACGUGUUUCAAGUUUUGUUGUUGAUUAACUUGGUAGUCAUUGCUUCAAUGAUAUCUUUAUCAAGUUAAUUUAUGAACAUACAUGUAUUUCUUCCAAAUCUUCAUAUGUGAAAAUUUUCAUGUCUGUUGCUACUUA